rnacentral:rRNA from 1 species
UGUAGUCAUAUGCUUGUCUCAAAGAUUAAGCCAUGCAUGUCUAAGUAUAAAUAACUACACAGUAAAACUGCGAAUGGCUCAUUAAAACAGUUAUAGUUUAUUUGAUACAUUAAAUGGAUAACUGUAGAAAAACUAGAGCUAAUACAUGCCAAAACCGCAAGGUUGUAUUUAUUAGAUAUACCAAAUAGGUGAAUCAUAAUAACUUCGCAAAUCGCAGUCAUACUGCGAUAAAUCAUUCAAGUUUCUGCCCUAUCGUGCUUUCGAUGGUAGUGUAUUGGACUACCAUGGCUCUCACGGGUAACGGGGAAUUAGGGUUCGAUUCCGGAGAAGGAGCCUGAGAAACGGCUACUACAUCUAAGGAAGGCAGCAGGCGCGUAAAUUACCCAAUCCUGACUCAGGGAGGUAGUGACAAGAUAUAACAACACGAUUAAAAUCGUGAUUGUAGUGAGGGUAUUCCAAACCGAACUUCGAGUACGAUUGGAGGACAAGUCUGGUAAUCG